rnacentral:misc_RNA from 1 species
UUGAUUGAUUCAAAAUAUAACUCAGACGCAAAGAUGCAGUGUUGAGUGGUCCGCCGGGGGCCCCAAGACGCCCGAAGGCCGGGUCGCCCCCGAGGCAACAGGGUCAGAUAACAUGGGGUUGGAGGUCGGACCCGGAGGCCCUCACUCGGUAAUGAUCCCUCCGCAGGUUCACCUACGGAGA